rnacentral:lncRNA from 1 species
CCACAAUAUGGUGCAGAACCUGGCGUGGCUGACAGGGCACAAGCCAAAGGAGCCAUAUUGAGCAGGAUUCAACCCCUGCUCCCCAGCUGGGGUGGGUGGGUGUGCGCGCGCGCAGGCUGGGGAAAGACUUGGGGGGAGGCAAAACUGAAUGCCACCCUCCCGACCAUCAGCUGACCUGUCGGCUGAUUGACAGGUCAUUGUGGCUUUGGAGGAAAUGGCCUCUUGGGUCAAACUGGACCCCAGCCAAUUACAUCCCCUGCCACAGCUACAGAUAUAAAGGAGUAGAGUUGUGUGUGUGGUCAGCAUAUUGCUGACAACACGCUCCAGAACUCUGAAUGACAAAACUCUUGAAUAUGCAUGUAUAAAUGAGACCAUAGAUUUUAAAAAGAGUUUGGUCCAGAUCCAGUCAUGCUUAGAGUACAACUGUUUAAAUCAAUAGGACUUGGAUAUUCUGUCAUGAAUAUCUUGCCCAAAUGAUUUUAGUGGGUCUGUUCUAAGCAUGAGUAAGGCAGAAUACAGCCAAAAUAAUACAGAAGACACAUUUUUAAACUCCAUUUUGGUGCUGGAACUAAGGUGGGCCCUGGGUCUGAAAAAUUUAUAAGCCAUUGGCUUAUAGAUUUUCACUGACGCCUAGCCACAUACAGUGAUGCUGUAGCAAUUUUGCAAUACCAAUUAUAGCUUCAUGUUUCAUUUUGUUUUAGCUGCUGUGUACCAGACUGAGCCUAUUCACGCAUGACCUUCUGAAUAUAUGGAAUCCCACAUUCGCUAUUGCUUGCAUUUACAGUGAGCUAGUUUGCACAUGACAUUAAACCAGCUAUGGAGAAGAUAUUGCAGAUUUCCACCAAACAAACCACAAGCUGUAAACUCAAGAACAAACCUUGGUUACAGUUUGUGGUUUGACUGGAACAAACCAAACCAUGGAUUAGUCCAAAGCAGUGCAGUUACAGCAGGCCCAUGGGGGGGCCACAAAUUCUUCAGGAUCCUGCAUACUUUCAUGUUCUCACUCAUCAAUAUGAACCAGCUCAAUGCUUGCCAGUGGUAAUGCAGAGAAGGGUUCUCUAUUGCAUUCACAUUUUGUCCAUGUAUUCAAGUCUUCCUCUGAGUGUUUUACUGUCCUAGACUGAAUCUAGAGUAUGUGUUGGGACAACUUUGAAAUAAGUAAGUACUUUUUGCCCUUCUAUUUAUAUAAAACCUUCUUAUUUCUUAUGUAUAAUGUUGAAAUCAAUUUCAUAGACUAUGCUCCUGUACACUUCAAUUCCUCAGAAAUGUUUAAUAUUUUCUUCCUUAGAUCUAUAUGGACAGGCUAUCACCACUUCAAUCUUGAAUGGCUUCUCUGAAGAUCAAUUCCAUUCUUGGGAAAGGUCAUCUGAAGCUAAAACACUGAUAACCUUACCUAAGAAAUAUUAAAUGUCGAUGUGAGGUUAUUUUUCUUUUUUCCCAAAACCCGAAGAGAAGUGUCUCUGUGUUUAUAUAUAUAUUUCAUCAAAAGAUAUACAUUUCGGGAUGUGCAGUGUUUUCUUUUGAAUUACAGACUGCCAUUUCAGAUUGAAUGGAUCCAGCACGCACCAGUUUCCUUUUGAGUAUGAAGUUAAAUUGAAUUGGCUUCCAAAACAAGAUAUUGCAAACCAUGUGUAGUGAACUUUCUCAUAUCCCACUUCUAAAAUGUAAAGUUGUGUUGUGAACUAGCCAAUGGAUUGAAUAAUUACUAUCAGACUGAACGAUUUAAACAAGCAAGCCUGAAUGCUCUGUGCUUCUCUGAAACACAGUUAACAAAACAUUUGUGAAAAGAAGCAAGCUAAACGUCUUUGCAAGCUUGGGAUGAAGAAGCGAAUAGGGAUUUUUCCAGACAUUACCAGGAUUUCAAAGGUGGAAUUGACGUCCAGGGGGAAAUCGUGUGAUCCUAAAAUAAGCUCAACAGUUUUGAGGUCUUCCUAAAAAAGACUUCAACCAGGGUGUCCUGGUUUUCACUUUUUGAAACAUGGCAACCCUAGGAGAGAAACAUAACCGCACUGUGUUCAUGAUUACAAAAUGUGUGUUAAAACAGGAAACUACUUUGUAUGUUUUAAUUUGGAUAGUUUUUCAUAACUAAUUAAAUAUGAUAUCCAUAAAUAGCUGUGCAGGC